rnacentral:lncRNA from 1 species
AGAAAAACCAUUAAUUUCAGUCUAAUAUUGGUGAUCAACUCCAUGCAAGCACAAGUAAUACAUGUAUCUAUAGAAUUCCUACAUACAUAUCUACAAACUUCAAGAAUUCCUAAUCCCUUUUUCACUAUGUUUUGCAGCUGCAAUUUCUCCACAACAUGUUCAACCACAAGUUGACUUGUAUCCUAACUUCCAAGAAGCAUCUGAUGCAUUUAAAGCAGGUAUUGAACCAUAAAUUCAUUAGAAUUACAUUUUAUGCAAAAUUUCAAUAAUUUAUACCUAAACUACAUAUUCUUACAUAUAUCUACAAUUCUCAUAUCCAAUUAUUCAUUCAAGCUGAGGUUUCAACAGAACAUGUAUAAGGAAAUGUUGAGGAAGAAUCACUAAUUGAUGAAGUAGCUGUGGCACAACAAGCAGGUAAUGUAAUCUCUAAAUUCUUUUGUGACUCCAUAUAUUGUUCAAAACUACAUAGCUCUGCACUUAUCUAAAGAAGGUGAAGUUAAUCCAGGGGGUGUGCCAGCAAUGGUUGAGGAUGAACCAGCAAUCCAGGAAGGAUCUAAGGUAGCAAAAGAAGGUAUUGUUUCAUAAUAUACUUUUUUACAUAAAUUAGUUGCUUAUACAAUAGUAUAAUGAGGUUAAUUUUGUGAUUUUAUAUGUAAUAGAUAUUGAAGAUAACAUUCCACAGCCGCCAAUACAUGGUGUAACAGUGACUGAAGUUGUUCAGGAAGGCAUUGAUAAAAAAGAUGAGAUUGAAGUUGUUCCUGAAGUCAUUGAAAACAAAGGUAUGACAUUGGAUGACUUUGAGCUUCCAGAAAACUUAUCACAGUUGGUCAUGUAUGGCGAGACCAUACCAGAUGAAUCAACCCCCUUUUCAUCCAGGAAGAACAAGGAUACCGGGAAAACAUGCACGCUCACCAUUCACACCUCUGUGUAAUUCUAGAGGAAGCACAUCUAUUGGUCCUAAAUAUUUUUACCUCAAGCACCCCUUCACAAGUGUCAUAGGUGAAGAUGUAGAUCCUGAAUUGAUAGAAAGGUUCACCACCUGGUUAUACUUUCGCAGUGACAAAGUAUCUAGAAGGCAUGAUUGCUUAAAUUUACACUGUCUGUUCACCUUUUCAUAUGUUAAAGUUGCACCUGGUUAUACUUUCGCAGUGACAAAGCUUCUAGGAGGUAUGAUUGCUUAAAUUAACACUGUCUGUUCACCUUUUUAUACUUCAAAGUUGUAAUUAAUUUUGUCAAUUGUUUAUAUUUGAUUCAUUCUUUCGUUAUUACAGGAGGAAAGAUUACUUUUCCAAGAAGGAUAACCAAAUCAAUCCUUGUCUGGAUUUUGGUUGUGAAAAGAUUGAUAAGAAGGACUGGUUCUAUGCCUUUGCUCACCCCGGACAAGUCAUCAAUAACUCAGUAAGUAUACAAUGUCUACAAUAUUGACCAUAUCCUUUUUUCCUUCAACUGUGUUGUGUAAUUGUUGUUUUGUCUUUAUUUAUGAUGUGUAACCCGGACAAGUCAUCAAUAACUCAAUAUAGCAUAUAUAUUUUACUAUAUUUAGUCUUCAUCUGUCAAAUUUUGCUUUUUACGGACCUUAUGUAUCAUAUGUGAUCAUGCCAUUGUUUACAAAUUGGAAUUUUUAUAAUUUUGACUGAAUUGUAAUCUUUGUGUACCACAACUGUAGUUACCUUGUAGUAAUAUUAUAGACCUUGUGAUUCUUCCUAUUAAUAUUAACUCUAGGUUAUUGGGACCUUAAGUGAGGUGCUAUGUUUCUUUUGUUCCUCUGUAUAGUGAAUAAAUGUAGUUAAUGUGUAGUUGUUUUAUACCCCGAUGGGUCAAUUGUAGAUUUAGUACUUGUUCACUAUUGGUUCAUCCUAACUACAAUUAAAUUAUAUUUGGUGAGGUACUUGGACUAACUGUUAUAUUUCUGUAGUUGCAGUGUAGUUAAAGUGCAUCAAUAUUUUUAGAUUUUUUCAUAAAUUCCAAUUGUAAUUAAUAUGUAGCUGCUUUGUAUAUAAUUGUGGUUAGAAUGUGGCUUAUUGUAUAUUGCACUUCUAUUUUGGCGCACAUUGAUGUUAUGAUAUAAUAUUUGAGAAAAAGAUGCAAAUAUGGCCCCAACACCAUACUAGGGUUACAACAACCGUUGCUUGUUCAAGAUAAAGAUUGAAAGAAUCUAUGACAAGUUCAUAAAUUCUCCACCGGAACAAAGGAAUUUGGUUGUUAAAGCCGAGGAUGAUAUUG